AUCUGGCUGUGGAUCUGUAACCCCACUGAUCACCAAGGUUGUAUUUGCUGAUCUGGCUGGGUUGUCUGGUGUUACCUU
rnacentral:snRNA from 1 species